rfam:Pseudobacteroides cellulosolvens ATCC 35603 = DSM 2933 ctg1, whole genome shotgun sequence.
AAAUAAGAUUUGUCAUGAGAAGUCAGCAGAGGUCAUAGUACCAAGCCAGUCAUGAAUGGUAAGGAAAGGGC